AUGUGCCACUCGUACACUCCGGUUCCUGCGCGCCGUCCGCACGCCCCUGGCGACUGCUCGCUACGUUUUGGUAGCC
rnacentral:sRNA from 1 species